rnacentral:rRNA from 2 species
UCCGUAGGUGAACCUGCGGAGGGAUCAUUACCGAG